UACAGAGGUCUCAAGCGUUGUUCGGAUUCAUUGGGCGUAAAGGGUGCGUAGGCGGCGCGGUAAGUCGGGUGUGAAAUUUCGGAGCUUAACUCCGAAACUGCAUUCGAUACUGCGGUGCUUGAGGACUGGAGAGGAGACUGGAAUUCAUGGUGUAGCAGUGAAAUGCGUAGAGAUCAUGAGGAAGACCAGUGGCGAAAGCGGGUCUCUGGACAGUUCCUGACACUGAGGCACGAAGGCCAGGGGAGCAAACGGG
rnacentral:rRNA from 1 species